GCUCCACGUAAUCCUUCCGCGUCUUUUCCCCACCCCACGCCGCCAUCUCCCCACCUCCGGAUCAGUUCCAAUCUACGCCGGCACCUGCCCAUCCCGUGCGCCGCCCAUUCCCACAUACGGCGUGGAUGCUCACCCAAGUGCUAACCUCCGCCGCGAGCUCCGGACUCUGCCGUGACUUCCUUUUCUCCUCCGCCAACGAUCUUACCAGUUGGAGCCCCGUCGGCGUCCGACUUCCUCACCGUCGACAAGCCUUGCUCCUCACGGACGUCAUCGUCACCAUCACCAAGUUGCAUCCAUGCCGAGGUCAUCCUCUGCCAGAAGCUCCACCGUGUGUUGCGUCGCUAAACCGUCCACAGGCAGCUCUCGGCACCGUCCAAUAUCUUCAGACAUCCGCCCCGUCAAGCAGGUUCAGCAGAAGAGUUGUUGGUAGUGACCUACCACAUGUAGAAGCACCGACAAUGUGGAUGCUCCACAGAAUGUUAUGCAGUUGCAGGAAUUGCAUCCUAGCAAUUGUGCGAGAACCAAAGAGGGUCACACCAGAUCGUCUUUACGACAUGAACACAUCAUUGCUAAGGUAUCAAACAAUGUCUGCGUGUACAUAAAUUUCUGCUUCGCUAUUAAACAAUGCCUUUAUUUUGUACAAGUUUACUUACAACUGAAAGGAACCUCAACUGUAGAGGCACACAUUGAAAAGUUUGAUAGGGCUAAUCAAGGUGCAGAAUCAACCAUACCAAGAUGAGAAGUUCACUAGCCAGGGAAAAGAUUGAAGUAAUUGUUUUCGAAGAACUCAACAAACACAAGUGAAGUCAUGGCCAGAGGAACUUUAGUGAAUAAACAUAUCACAUAUGUGGUUUGAGGAAGCAUGCUUGGAGAGCAAUAUGUUGGUGUUUCUGUUCAUCACAGCAUUCCAAAUCUUGACGAUGAGAGACUUAUUAGAAAUAAUCCAAUCCAGACAGUAAGGGAUACUAUUGAUUAUGUUAUUGCUUGGCCUCAAUCACAUGUCAAAAAUACCCGAGCCAAUCGCUCCAACAACACUACAAAAACAUUCCUACUCCAACACAACCAGAAAACAAUGGAAACUAAGGCUUUAGAGGACUGCAUUGCAGGAUCCAGGAGCAGCUGCAGAUGGAUUAAUUUUUAAAUGAACAAAUAUAAUGAAUUAUGUAUAGAUUUUAGCAUCAUAGGAAAACUUGGUUCUAGUUUGCAGGAUAUUUUCUUAUUUAUUUGUAUCUUUCAUAUGAAUGUCUGAUUUGAUUCAGUUGUGAACUCCGCACACUUUUAAUACAUGUAUUUGUUCCUACUAAUUAGUCCACUGGAUUUUCUAGUGAGGAUGCUUGUGCGAAUGGAAUUGGUGAUGUGAA